GAAUUGCAAGUGAUGAGACCAUAGUUCAGUUGAUAAACUGUGAUGAAUAAUCUUUCGCUCCUAUCUGAUGCAAUUG
rnacentral:snoRNA from 1 species